GUUUUAAGCAAGCCCAGCCGUCAAUUCAGCAUCCCCCCCCCCAUGCAACCCACAAACACAGAGGAGCAAACGAAGCCCCACGCGAAACACUCUCCUCACACCGCUGCGUGCCCCGACGCAUGUUCUGAGAUUCUCCAUCCAGAAGGCGAUCCAGCCACGAUGUUUUGCCAUACUGGAUCACCUUCUCUCAAGCACUUCACAGCACUGCAGUAAGGUCUCAAUGUCAGGCGGAAGGUAAAUGAGCCCCAGAACAUCUGAAAGGUUGCUAAUGAUGAUGACUACCCUGUCAAAUCUUUGUAUGGGGGAUCUGCACAUCCUGUUUACGUGCUCACACUCAGAAGAGCACAGGCUGAUUGCGUUGUCUAAAUUCAGUGAUACUUGGCUUUUUGCUCUUCCCUUGUCUAACCCACUGGUGAGUGGGUGCUACAGGUUCCCGUCUGUGCUGAUCUGCAGAAGACAAGAGUUUUUGCAGCCACAAGCUGAAGGAGGUAUGGCUAGUUAACUCAAGCUUUUGUAGCUCAUGGGUUAGGACCCAUUUCCCUUGACCUCAGCUGAUC
rnacentral:lncRNA from 1 species